rnacentral:rRNA from 1 species
AUUGAACGCUGGCGGCAGGCCUAACACAUGCAAGUCGAACGAGUGGCGGACGGGUGAGUAAUGUCUGGGAAACUGCCCGAUGGAGGGGGAUAACUACUGGAAACGGUAGCUAAUACCGCAUAGCAGCGGAUGUGCCCAGAUGGGAUUAGCUAGUAGGUUGGGUAACGGCUCACCUAGGCGACGCUCCCUAGCUGGUCUGAGUAGAUGACCAGCCACACUGGAACUGAGGCACGGUCCAGACUCAUCCGGGAAACAGCAGUGGGGAAUAGUGCACGAUGGGCGCAAGCCUGAUGCAUCCAUGCCACGUGUAUGAAGAAGGAUUUCAGGUGGUAAGGUAGUGUCAGCGAGGAGGCGUUACUCACAGGAGAAGCAUCGGCUAGCUCCAGGCCAGCAGCCGCGGUAUAUC